UACGAAGGGUGCAAGCGUUACUCGGAAUUACUGGGCGUAAAGCGUGCGUAGGUGGUGAGUUAAGUCUGUCGUGAAAGCCCCGGGCUCAACCUGGGAAUGGCGAUGGAUACUGGCUCGCUAGAGUGCGGUAGAGGAGAGUGGAAUUCCUGGUGUAGCGGUGAAAUGCGCAGAUAUCAGGAGGAACACCCGAUGGCGAAGGCAGGUCUCUGGGCCACUAACUGACGC
rnacentral:rRNA from 1 species